CCCUUAGAUGUUCUGGGCCGCACGCGCGCUACACUGACUGCUCCAACAAGUUACCUGGGCUGACAAGCAUCCGGGAAAUCUUGCAAAGGCAGUCGUGAUGGGGAUAGAUUCUUGUAAUUUUUGAUCUUCAACGAGGAAUUCCUAGUAAACGCAAGUCAUCAGCUUGCAUUGAUUACGUCCCUGCCCUUUGUACACACCGCCCGUCGCAUCUACCGAUUGAAUGGAGAGGUAAAAUCUUCGGACCGUGACGCUUGGGAGUCAAAUCUCGGGCUGUCGUGGGAAGUGGAUUAAACCUUUCUAUUUAGAGGAAGGUAAAGUCGUAACA
rnacentral:rRNA from 1 species